UAAAAAAAAAAAAAAAACCCCAAUGUUGGUUGGGAGAAAACGGGAAGCAGUUUCCAUAGCAACCUGUUGUACUGUGGGUGUAGCGAAGCUUGGAAGAAUCCGAUCUCUGCCCGAGGUCUGCGGUUCGUGUCCUGAAAAAUGGUAUGGUUUGAAGGAGAAUUCAAAGCGCCAGGAGAGGUAGGUACUGUUCAUUUACACGUCUGAGAAAUCAUGACAUUGGUGUCAGUUGCAGCCAUUUUUUGGUGUAUACUAAUACCAUCGUUUGAGACCAGCAAGCAAUUUAUGGCCAAUGGCUGCUACUGUGUCUGCCCACCAUAUCAGAAUUUAAGUAAAUUCAUUUUCUGGAAACAACUAUUUCAGGAUGAUUGUAAUUGCCUGUAUACAGUGGACCCGAUGCCAGUGCCAAGACAUGAGGUUGAGGCAUAUUGCUUGCUGUGUGAUUGCAAGUUUGUGGAAAGAAAUAAUACCACCACUAAGAACUAGGAAUUUUGACUGAUUCCAACUGUCAAGGAAACUAAAAGAGGCUGAAAAUAUAAUCACAAGGAAAUUGGCACUAUGACAUUGAGGCAAGAGUGUCUACUGUGGUGUUUCUCAUGUAGAUCUUGUAGUUAAAACAACAGAUGUUGAUGCAUGAGAGUUAACUUCUCUAGAAAAGCAAGUACAUGCACUGGGGGAUUCAUCUUAUGUUUUUGUUUUGGAUUGUUUCACUCUGCUAGGAAAACUGUCAUUUUCUUCAUCCUUUCCUAAUCUGAUGCCCUUGAACAUGCAGAAUUCUGAGCCUGCAGAUUGUUCCAAAGUUUGCAAAGGCAUCAGAUUGGGGAAACCAGCCUGAUAACUUUUGUCCAUACUUUGAUCUUCUCUUUCUAGCAGUGCUGAUUUCCUUUUUUGCAAUAAAAGGGAAAUUCCCUUUUACGCCUUGCUUAAAACAUGUUCUUUUAUCCAGUAUGUUUGAUGAUAUUUCACUUCUCUGUUCAUGCAGAUCAUCCUCAUCAUUUCCCUCUCAGUGUUUGGGGCUAUUUUACUCUUCAAAGUCUUUUCAAUGGUAGUUAAGCACUUCUUCCAUAAAUCUGAUGCCUAUACUAAGUCCCUGCACAAUGAAAAAGAGCCAGAGAAUCCCCACACUUGAUCUCCUCCUCAAUCCACCUAAGAGAAUAUGCUGCAUUUGAAGCAAGCUACUAGUUGCACAUUCCAUUGAUGAGGACUGCCAUUUGCUUUAUUUGUCGUUGUCAGGAAAAUAAUAACUGUAGGAUAAUUAUUCGACUUCCAAAGUGAGAAACAAUUGCAACUUAAUUUGGGUUCCAUAAUCUGCCACGCAUUGUUCUGGUUUGGUGAUAAAAAUGUGGCAUGCAUUUAUUCAUUAUUGCUUACAAACCUGUAGCUUAGCUUUUAGCUCGAGUUGAAUGUAUUAUUAAUAGAAUAAAAACACUAACAUCCAUUUCAUUCCAUUGGCUGCCAAUAUAUGAUAUUUCACUCUUGCAAAAUAGUUACAGAGAAGUGGUUGGAUUCUGUCUUUAAAAUGCUGGUUUGAAAAGUUGGCACCAAAGACAAAAACGUAAUAAGGGAAAUUAAUUUAGCAAAAAGGAGUUACUACAUUUGGCUCAUAAAUUCUUACAGAUUUUCCCUUCAAGGAUUUUUUUUUUCAGGAUAAUUAACUUUACACCAAAGGAAUAUGAACAGAUUUUCUAGCACUGUCAUAGUUAAGAUGCUUAACCCAUUACAAGAAUGACUGGAUGAGCUCCAUGCUUCCCAAUCUCCUUAAGGGACCAAACCAAGAGGCUUGUGGAUGUCUCUUCCACAUGCAGAUUUUUAAACAGUCAAGUGGUUAUACAGAAUACAGAUUCUUGUAUUUUAUGCUGGAUUCACUGGAUGCAAAGGAAAUUGCCCUUCUACAGUACAAGUGGCAGUGUAUCCCAGUAUGCAAAACUGAAUUCUAUCAAAGGACAUUUAGAGAAAUAUAGCCUUACAUUUUAUUAUUGUCCCAAGAAGUGCCAUGCAGCAUACAUCUUUUAAAAUAAAAUUUAAAUUGGCUUAAUAGAAAAUUUCCUGCAUGAUAUUGGAUUUUUCCCUUGGCCAACAUGAUUACAAUUACUUAUUUUAUUCUGUUUUACAAUAAUCUUUCGCAGAUGUAUGGAACCUGUAGCAAUCAGGUCUAGGUCAACAAUUAAGGGAAAGUAGCAUUAACAAUAUGUAACUCUGAAAUGUAAUGUAACGUUGUAAUGGUCUGUCAGUACCUACUAUCAAAAGACCUUGGAGGAUGGACAGUAUUUUUCUGCAUACUUAAAUAUUUCAGUAUUAAGCAAACUACUUUAUCUCUCUUGAAGUAUCUCUGGCAGACUUUAUCUAAUCUUUGUUGCUAUGCAGCAUUUUUUCAUUAAACACAGAAAGUUAGUAUAACAUAGAUGUCAGGUAUCAUUCAAUACUUUUUGCUCAGAAGGAGAUAUCAUGCAAAGGUUUGGAGAAUAUGUAGAAAUGGGGGGGGGGGGAAUCCUAAAAUAUAUGAUAGGCUAUAUCUGGGCUAUAAAAAUCCAAAUGACCACUUAUGGGCAGAUGACCACUUAUGGGUAUAUAUAUGGUCCAGCCAUGUCUAAAAUACAGUAUGCACAUUGUAUCAUCAGCUGGUUACAAAUCAUACAUCUGCAAAAAAUGUUAUGCUUAUUGACAUGGAAGUAUGUGGUGAGGCAUUUGAUUUUAUGUACUGAAAAUAUUUACAAGCUAUUUUUUUUAAUUCAGAUAUUCAGUGUGAUGUAUAAAAAAGAAGUAACAGGAAAAAAAGUUGUAAGAUGUCAACAAUAAAAUAUAAUAAAACAAUCACUAAAAUGAA